rnacentral:rRNA from 1 species
ACCCGCACAAGCGGCGGAGCAUGCGGAUUAAUUCGAUGCAACGCGAAGAACCUUACCAAGGCUUGACAUAUAGAGGAAACGUCUGGAAACAGUCGCCCCGCAAGGUCUCUAUACAGGUGGUGCAUGGUUGUCGUCAGCUCGUGUCGUGAGAUGUUGGGUUAAGUCCCGCAACGAGCGCAACCCUCGUUCUAUGUUGCCAGCACGUAAUGGUGGGAACUCAUGGGAUACUGCCGGGGUCAACUCGGAGGAAGGUGGGGAUGACGUCAAAUCAUCAUGCCCCUUAUGUCUUGGGCUUCACGCAUGCUACAAUGGCCGGUACAAAGGGCUGCAAUACCGUAAGGUGGAGCGAAUCCCAAAAAGCCGGUCCCAGUUCGGAUUGAGGUCUGCAACUCGACCUCAUGAAGUCGGAGUCGCUAGUAAUCGCAGAUCAGCAACGCUGCGGUGAAUACGUUCCCGGGUCUU